UACGUAGGGUGCGAGCGUUAAUCGGAAUUACUGGGCGUAAAGCGUGCGCAGGCGGCUUCGCAAGUCAGACGUGAAAUCCCCGGGCUUAACCUGGGAAUGGCGUUUGAAACUACGGAGCUGGAGUAUGGCAGAGGGGGGUGGAAUUCCACGUGUAGCAGUGAAAUGCGUAGAGAUGUGGAGGAAUACCGAUGGCGAAGGCAGCCUCCUGGGCCAACACUGACGCUCAUGCACGAAGGCUAGGGUAGCGAACGGG
rnacentral:rRNA from 1 species